ACCAAACCAAUUCCGCAAGGAAUGUGAUGAAUCAUAGUAAUCGAACGAAUCGCAGGUAUAUGCGAUAAGUCAUUCAAGUUUCUGCCCUAUCAGCUUUGGAUGGUAGUGUAUUGGACUACCAUGGCAGUCACGGGUAACGGAGAAUUAGGGUUCGAUUCCGGAGAGGGAGCCUGAGAAACGGCUACCACAUCUACGGAAGGCAGCAGGCGCGAAAAUUGCCCAAUCCUGACACGGGGAGGCAGUGACAAGAAAUAACAACUCUAGGUUUUCUUAGAAGUGUAAUGAGGAUAAUUUACAAACCUUACCAAAUGCAAUUGGAGGGCAAGUCUGGUGCCAGCAGCCGCGGUAAUUCCAGCUCCAAUAGCGUAUAUUAAAGUUGUUGUAGUUAAAAAGCUCGUAGUUGAAAUUCUGAUUGUUCGGGUUUUUAGCCUUUAGGCAGAAAUACCGACAGUCAUCCGCUUGCAAACAUAGCUUGAUCUUAACCGAUUAACUAUGUGAGUAAGCACUUUACCUUGAGAAAAACAGAGUGUUCCAGGCAGGUUUGUCCGGAAUGCAUUAGCAUGGAAUAAUAGAACAUGACUGAAGUCAAUUUAUUGGUUAAAGACUUUAGUAAUGAUUAAUAGGAACAGUCGGGGGCAUUCGUACUCAGCAGUCAGAGGUGAAAUUCUAAGAUUUGCUGAAGACGAACUAAUGCGAAAGCAUUUGCCAAGGAUGUUUUCAUUAAUCAAGAACGAAAGUUAGGGGAUCAAAGACGAUCAGAUACCGUCCUAGUCUUAACUAUAAACGAUACCGACUCGGAUUCAGAUGAAUCAAAAUGUUCAUUUGGGACCGUAGGAGAAAUCAAAGUCUUUGGGUUCUGGGGGGAGUAUGGUCGCAAGGCUGAAACUUAAAGGAAUUGACGGUUUUGCACCACCAUGGAGUGGAGUUUGCGGCUUAAUUUGACCCAACACUGGGAAACUCAUCAGGGCAAGAAGAUUUUAGGAUUGACAGAUUGAGAGUUCUUUCUUGAUUGGUCUAGUGGUGGUGCAUGGCCGUUCUUAGUUGGUGGAGUGAUUUGUCUGGUUAAUUCCGUUAACGAACGAGACCUUAACCUGCUAACUAGUGUUCUCAUUUCAAAUUUGAAUCACUUCUUAGAGGGACUAUGUGAUGUAAUCACAUGGAAGUUUGAGGCAAUAACAGGUCUGUGAUGCCCUUAGAUGUCCUGAGCUGCACGCGUACUACAAUGGCACUUUCAACGAGUUUUUCCUGAUCCGAAAGGAUUUGGGUAAUCUUUUUAGUGAGUGCCGUGAUUGGGAUAGAUCUUUGUAAUUAUGGAUCUUGAACU
rnacentral:rRNA from 1 species